UGGUGGAAAGAACAAAGAUGCAGCCCUCACAGGCUGUGUUGUGCAGCAGUGCACAACACGUUUCCAAUAAAAACCUGUAAUGACUUAAAACUAACAGACUUGUCUGAAUUUUUGCUGCCCGUCUCUCCUCCUAGGAGUCUCAGCAGUCUUCUACCAUCUUUCUUUGGCUAAGGCACAUAGGCAUCCUUUGUCUCUGGUAUUGGUGACCGCGGUCAGGACACCAGCUGUGCCCAAGGACAAGCUGGAAGGGAAGCACACUUCUGGAGCAGGCUGGUGACACAAGCGGAGUCUCAGCCUUCUGCUGCGAUGCAGCAGAUUGAACGUUUCAUUCAUGCAAAUGCACAUUUCCUGGCAGUGCCGGGGCUGGCCUGGAAUCCAGACCUGGUCUGCUCAAGAGCAAGGUCAAUUUGUGGACUUCCCUCCUUCAAGAUGCUAUCAGGACAAGGCGUGAAGUUGGAUGCCUAAAACAGAUUAAGAAGAUUUUCUCAACACUGGUACCCAAGUAAGUGCUGUGAGUAAUUUGCAAGCUAGAGAAAGUGAGCCAAAAAUCACAUUUUGAGUCGGAAAGGAUGCUGGAGCAGAAUUAUGUAAAACUCUGUCUCAGACGGUAACAGAGUUUUGACAAGUGNNNNNNNNNNNNNNNNNNNNUUCUAGUCUGGUAAGAGAUCUUACAAAGAUAAUGCUGGUAUUAAUUCUAAUGAGCAAAUAUGUCUUUAUGCAGAGCAAGGUCAAUUUGUGGACUUCCCUCCUUCAAGAUGCUAUCAGGACAAGGCGUGAAGUUGGAUGCCUAAAACAGAUUAAGAAGAUUUUCUCAACACUGGUACCCAAGUAAGUGCUGUGAGUAAUUUGCAAGCUAGAGAAAGUGAGCCAAAAAUCACAUUUUGAGUCGGAAAGGAUGCUGGAGCAGAAUUAUGUAAAACUCUGUCUCAGACGGUAACAGAGUUUUGACAAGUGCAUUUUGUGACACGGCCCUGCUGAGCGUGAGCCAGCACGGAGGCAGGAGCCGGGCAGGUGAGCUACUGUGUUGCGUGAAAGCCCAUAUUGACAGCGGUGCUCAUGUACAGGCUGUAGGGCUUCACGUGAAAGAAGUUUCCUACCUAGUAGAACGCAGCGCUUGGUAUUUUCAGUUAAACAGAAUUAAGGAUGGUCCCAGUGACAAGGAUCAUAAGCUGCCGG
rnacentral:lncRNA from 1 species